rnacentral:rRNA from 1 species
GACGAACGCUUUCGGCGUGCUUAACACAUGCAAGUCGAACGGAAAGGCCCUGCUUUUGUGGGGUGCUCGAGUGGCGAACGGGUGAGUAACACGUGAGUAACCUGCCCUUGACUUUGGGAUAACUUCAGGAAACUGGGGCUAAUACCGGAUAGGAGCUCCUGCUGCAUGGUGGGGGUUGGAAAGUUUCGGCGGUUGGGGAUGGACUCGCGGCUUAUCAGCUUGUUGGUGGGGUAGUGGCUUACCAAGGCUUUGACGGGUAGCCGGCCUGAGAGGGUGACCGGCCACAUUGGGACUGAGAUACGGCCCAGACUCCUACGGGAGGCAGCAGUGGGGAAUAUUGCACAAUGGGCGGAAGCCUGAUGCAGCAACGCCGCGUGCGGGAUGACGGCCUUCGGGUUGUAAACCGCUUUCGCCUGUGACGAAGCGUGAGUGACGGUAAUGGGUAAAGAAGCACCGGCUAACUACGUGCCAGCAGCCGCGGUGAUACGUAGGGUGCGAGCGUUGUCCGGAUUUAUUGGGCGUGAAGGGCUCGUAGGUGGUUGAUCGCGUCGGAAGUGUAAUCUUGGGGCUUAACCCUGAGCGUGCUUUCGAUACGGGUUGACUUGAGGAAGGUAGGGGAGAAUGGAAUUCCUGGUGGAGCGGUGGAAUGCGCAGAUAUCAGGAGGAACACCAGUGGCGAAGGCGGUUCUCUGGGCCUUUCCUGACGCUGAGGAGCGAAAGCGUGGGGAGCGAACAGGCUUAGAUACCCUGGUAGUCCACGCUGUAAACGGUGGGUACUAGGUGUGGGGUCCAUUCCACGGGUUCCGUGCCGUAGCUAACGCUUUAGGUACCCCGCCUGGGGAGUACGGCCGCAAGGCUAAAACUCAAAGGAAUUGACGGGGCCCCGCACAAGCGGCGGAGCAUGCGGAUUAAUUCGAUGCAACGCGUAGAACCUUACCUGGGUUUGACAUGGAUCGGGAGUGCUCAGAGAUGGGUGUGCCUCUUUUGGGGUCGGUUCACAGGUGGUGCAUGGCAGUCGUCAGCUCGUGUCGUGAGAUGUUGGGUUAAGUCCCGCAACGAGCGCAACCCUUGUUCACUGUUGCCAGCACGUUAUGGUGGGGACUCAGUGGAGACCGCCGGGGUCAACUCGGAGGAAGGUGGGGAUGACGUCAAGUCAUCAUGCCCCUUAUGUCCAGGGCUUCACGCAUGCUACAAUGGCUGGUACAGAGAGUGGCGAGCCUGUGAGGGUGAGCGAAUCUCGGAAAGCCGGUCUCAGUUCGGAUUGGGGUCUGCAACUCGACCUCAUGAAGUCGGAGUCGCUAGUAAUCGCAGAUCAGCAACGCUGCGGUGAAUACGUUCCCGGG